CUUUUAUAGGAGUCCGAGUUGUAAUUUUGAGAACUGUUUUCUGUGCUGGACCAUAUACAAGUCUGUUGGAAAACAGCAUCAUUGAGGGUGAUAAUCCCGUAGAUGAUAUGGACUACCAGUGCAAUAUGAUACAGUCUCUAAGAGUCGAGUUGUUUGGGAAUGCAGCUCAAAGAGGGUGGUAAAUUCCAUCUAAGGCUAAAUAUAGGUGAGAGACCGAUAGCAAACAAGUACCGUGAGGGAAAGAUGAAAAGAACUUUGGAAAGAGAGUUAACAGUACGUGAAAUUGUUAAAAGGGAAACAUUUGAAGUUAGACUUGUUAUUAUUGGUUCAGCUUCUCUUUUUUAAUUAGGAGUUUAUUCCAAUGGUUGACAGACCAGCAUCAAUUUUUGAGUGUUAGAUAAGGGUCUUGGAGAAUGUGGCAACUUUGGUUGUGUUAUAGCUCCUGGCUUGAUAUAAUGCUUAAGAUUGAGGAAC
rnacentral:rRNA from 1 species